rnacentral:tRNA from 1 species
GCCGGUGGUUCAGUGGUAGAAUGCUCGCCUGCCCGGCGGGCGGCCCGGGAUCAACUCCCGGCCAGC